AGAGUUUGAUCCUGGCUCAGGACGAACGCUGGCGGCGCGCCUAACACAUGCAAGUCGAACGGAGCUUAGAGAGCUUGCUUUUUAAGCUUAGUGGCGAACGGGUGAGUAACGCGUGAGUAACCUGCCCUAGAGUGGGGGACAACAGUUGGAAACGACUGCUAAUACCGCAUAAGCCCACGGUACCGCAUGGUACUGAGGGAAAAGGAUUUAUUCGCUUUAGGAUGGACUCGCGUCCAAUUAGCUAGUUGGUGAGGUAACGGCCCACCAAGGCGACGAUUGGUAGCCGGACUGAGAGGUUGAACGGCCACAUUGGGACUGAGACACGGCCCAGACUCCUACGGGAGGCAGCAGUGGGGGAUAUUGCACAAUGGGGGAAACCCUGAUGCAGCGACGCCGCGUGGAGGAAGAAGGUUUUCGGAUUGUAAACUCCUGUCGUUAGGGACGAUAAUGACGGUACCUAACAAGAAAGCACCGGCUAACUACGUGCCAGCAGCCGCGGUAAAACGUAGGGUGCAAGCGUUGUCCGGAAUUACUGGGUGUAAAGGGAGCGCAGGCGGGAAGACAAGUUGGAAGUGAAAACCAUGGGCUCAACCCAUGAAUUGCUUUCAAAACUGUUUUUCUUGAGUAGUGCAGAGGUAGAUGGAAUUCCCGGUGUAGCGGUGGAAUGCGUAGAUAUCGGGAGGAACACCAGUGGCGAAGGCGGUCUACUGGGCACCAACUGACGCUGAGGCUCGAAAGCAUGGGUAGCAAACAGGAUUAGAUACCCUGGUAGUCCAUGCCGUAAACGAUGAUUACUAGGUGUUGGGGGAUUGACCCCCUCAGUGCCGCAGUUAACACAAUAAGUAAUCCACCUGGGG
rnacentral:rRNA from 1 species